AAUGCCGGAUGCUCCAGUUGAUCGCAUGGUCUUCUGGGAAAGCUUUCGCGGUAUGGGAUGGGGUCGCGUCCUAUCAGCUUGACGGCGGGGUAACGGCCCACCGUGGCUUCGACGGGUAGCCGGCCUGAGAGGGCGACCGGCCACAUUGGGACUGAGAUACGGCCCAGACUCCUACGGGAGGCAGCAGUGGGGAAUAUUGCACAAUGGGCGCAAGCCUGAUGCAGCGACGCCGCGUGAGGGAUGGAGGCCUUCGGGUUGUAAACCUCUUUUAUCGGGGAGCAAGCGAGAGUGAGUUUACCCGUUGAAUAAGCACCGGCUAACUACGUGCCAGCAGCCGCGGUAAUACGUAGGGUGCAAGCGUUAUCCGGAAUUAUUGGGCGUAAAGGGCUCGUAGGCGGUUCGUCGCGUCCGGUGUGAAAGUCCAUCGCUUAACGGUGGAUCCGCGCCGGGUACGGGCGGGCUUGAGUGCGGUAGGGGAGACUGGAAUUCCCGGUGUAACGGUGGAAUGUGUAGAUAUCGGAAAGAGA
rnacentral:rRNA from 1 species